AACGAACGCUGGCGGCAGGCCUAACACAUGCAAGUCGAGCGCCCCGCAAGGGGAGCGGCGGACGGGUGAGUAACGCGUGGGAACGCGCCUCUUGCUACGGAAUAGCCUCGGGAAACUGGGAGUAAUACCGUAUGUGCCCUACGGGGGGAAAGAUUUAUCGGCAAGAGAUCGGCCCGCGUUGGAUUAGGUAGUUGGUGGGGUAAUGGCCUACCAAGCCGACGAUCCAUAGCUGGUUUGAGAGGAUGAUCAGCCACACUGGGACUGAGACACGGCCCAGACUCCUACGGGAGGCAGCAGUGGGGAAUCUUAGACAAUGGGGGCAACCCUGAUCCAGCCAUUCCGCGUGAGUGAAGAAGGCCUCGGUUGUAAGACUCUUUCUAGCAGGAACGAAACGGUAGGCCGACCUAAUAACU
rnacentral:rRNA from 1 species